rnacentral:lncRNA from 1 species
CUAGAGUACCAUAUUCUAAUGCUGUGGGAUCAGUUAUAUAUCUAAGGAUUUGUUCUAGGCCUGAUUUGGCAUUUGCAAUAAGUAUAUUGAGUAGAUACAUGUCCAAUCCUAGUGAGGUUCAUUGGGAAGCUAUGAAGUGGCUUCUAAGAUAUAUAAAAGGAACUUGUGACCUAGGAAUUGAGUAUAAAAAGCAAUCUGAAGGUGUUAUCUUUAGGAGUUACACAAAUUCUGAUUAUGUAGGUGAUAGGGACAACAGAAAAUCAACUUCUGCCUAUGUGUACACUUUAUGUAAUUCCUGUAUAAG